rnacentral:lncRNA from 1 species
UGGGCGUAUGUGUGUUCGAACAGAGGAGAAGAAAAGAGGGGAGAUCCCCUCUCUAACCCUAAAUCAAAGAAUUAGAAUGGAAUUCAAGGCUAGAUCUUGUGCAUGGACCUAAAUACAAGAUCACCUAGCCCUAACAAAUACAUGGAUAUUAAAGUAUUGACAUGUAAGGAUAAAUAACAUGUCUACGGACUCAAGCACGGAGGCUAGCGGGUCAAAAGUAAGCAUGGAACCUAUGCUUGAACUUGGUCGCUCAAGGUAAGUGAUUUCCAUAAUCACUUCUUAGUUGUUUAAGUACUGUAGCGUUUUAACUAAUUAAACAUGAUGUUUAUAGUCAAAUGUGGAUUAGAUUGUAUGAAAUCGGUGAAUUUCGCUAAGUAGAUCAAUGGGUCAAAAUAAGGUUUAUGAUUAUAUUGAAAUGUUGCAUAAGAAAUGGCUACGGUACUACAACCGGUUAAUGGGUAGAAUUGCUUAUAGGUACGCAAUCCGGGAAUGCGAAGGGUGGAAGAAAGGAGCUAGUUUAGACUAAUUAGCUUAAAUACCCUUAACGAGUCAAAAUAAGCAUACGAGCGAAAACGGGUUAAAAUAUAUAAGAAACCCGCAAUUAGAAACUAACAUGGUAGAUAAUAUUGAAUUGAAGAGGUUCAUGUGAAAUAAUGAUCGAACGAAUACGUUUGUUUGAUAAAUGCAUAAACGGGUCAAAAUUUUGUAAAAAUGGUAAUAAGCCGAAGGCAUAUAAGUUAAGAAUUUGCUUAACCCGGAUAUUGGAUUUCAAGUUCACACGAUAGAAUGUUAAUUUACAAUCAUGUAGGAAGAAACGUGAUGCAAAACGGAUGAAAAAUGAGAGAGUUAUGUCCAUUUCGGUAAGAAUUAAUGGCUAGGAAAAGUGCAGAGCUGACACGGCCGGGUGGUGGGCUGACACGGCCGGGUGAAGGUUCUGUGAAAAAUAUUAUUUAUGCGAUUUAUGCAUCGUAGGCUUCGGUAUAUUAUCCGUGGACUACGGUGGGCCUCCCAAACAUGAUUUCGAGUGUUCCCUUGACGAUUAUAAGUUGUAAACCCAAGUCUAAGCCUCAUGUAAUUUAUAUAAGAGUAUGAUAGAUGUAUGUAAUGAAGUUGGACAUGUAUUACAUGUAAAUGGUAUACAAGAAUGCGUACGGAACACGUAGGUAUGAAUACAUGAUUGUAGGUAUGAUUGAAUGUAUAUAGGUAUGUAGAUGUGUAUGAUUGUAAGUAUGUAUGUGUGCAAGUAUGUGCGAAUGAGGUUUUUAGUAUGUGUAUCGAUGAAUACUAAUAAUGUGCUUGAGAUUUGAAGGUAAUGCAGGAAUGAGAACGUAGAGUUCAUGAAGAUUGAAGUCGAACUUGGAACUAUAAACUAUGAGGAGAUGAUUGAGCGAACCCAAGUUCUUAGUGAAUUAUGAACUGAUUUUUAACUAUAUAGACUGAGUUAUGUUUUAUGGUGUUGCCAGUGACUAACAGUUUAGUUGUUUCUGGUUUCCACAGGAAUUGUACGGGUCUCUCUCUCUGUGACUAAUAUAACCAAGUGGGCGUAGAUCGAGUCAAGUGCAAGGAUUGUAUGGAAAGAACGGUUACGUAGUCUUAAUUUUGUAACGCAUUAAUUUGUAAAUGGAAGUGAAUUUUGUAAGCUUCUUCAUGAAUGUGUGUAUUGUUAUAAGAUCAUAAAGAGAUUUUUA